rnacentral:rRNA from 1 species
GUCCACGCCCUAAACGAUGUCAACUGGUUGUUGGGGAAUUCAUUUCCUUAGUAACGAAGCUAACGCGUGAAGUUGACCGCCUGGGGAGUACGGUCGCAAGAUUAAAACUCAAAGGAAUUGACGGGGGCCCGCACAAGCGGUGGAUGAUGUGGUUUAAUUCGAUGCAACGCGAAAAACCUUACCUACCCUUGACAUGUCCUGAACCCUGCUGAAAGGCGGGGGUGCCCGAAAGGGAACGGGAACACAGGUGCUGCAUGGCUGUCGU